GGGGAUGUAGCUCUUAUGGUAGAGCGCUUGCUUUGCAUGCGAGAUGUACGGGGAUAGAUGCCCUGCAUCUUCA
rfam:Ipomoea nil DNA, scaffold: scaffold1267, cultivar: Tokyo-kokei standard.